CUUCUUCGGGGAUGGGUGCAAUUCCCUACCGGCGGUAUAGCCCGCGAACUGAGAUUGAAAACCUCAGCCGAUCCGGUGAUGAUUCCGGAGCCGACAGUACAGUCUGGAUGAGAGAAGA
rnacentral:ncRNA from 1 species